GUUCCACCGCCUGCGGCUCGGCACUUUCGCGGCCCUGCAAGGGCCCGCGGGCCGGGGCUGCGGACGCUCGCUUGGCUCGGCAGAAUCUGCUGGCUCGCGGAAUUCGCUCGCCUCCAUUGUUGCCCCUUCUGGCACCCACAUCCCCGGAACGUGGCCCUGCCCCACGGCCGUAAUUGUUCUCCGAAGGGCUCGGCGCUCCUUUUACCAGCCCUUCCCCUUUUUAAAGGACUUUCCCAUUCGCCUGCUUUUCCCCCCCGGGUUAGUGGUGCUGGGCCCCCCGCAUUUGGGGUGACGACUCAUCCCACCCUCACCCCCGUCUCGCAACUGGGAUAACCGGCACAUGAGAGGGGGCAGCGGCCCCAUUUAUGCGAACUGUUCAUUUGCUUAGAUCGGAACCGUGUGUUUUGUGGCUGUGAGUUAAAACGUGGAGGUCCAGGAAGUGACUGGCUAAAGGCAAAUCCUAUGACUUUAUCCCAAAAUGUAGGCCCGUCUUCCAGAUGACUCACGUGGUACAGUGGCUUACUCCAGAUGAGAACAAGCCAGAAUAUAAAUAUACCUUUGUUUAAGACUCUCUGUUUGCAUGUAACGGAAACCAACCUGAAACAGCUUAACCAAAAGGGAAGAAUUUAUCAUAAGGAUGUAGGAACUUCUUACAAAUGCCCAGAGCGGGAAGACAGCUACCUCCUAGCAAAAGACUAGAACCAGGAGUUGGAAAACUUCCAGGAACCCAAAAGGGUAAGUGGCUUCCCCAGAACCUGGCUUCUGCAGGACACAGUGGUCAGCAGCACCUAGCACCUAGCACCUAGCACCUUCCGCUGGUGAUUUCAUAGUGCCUCCAAGGAGGUACCUCUCCGUAAAUGGCUUUCCCAAGCACCCAGAGGAUGGAUUUCCAGCAAGUUCCACCAGGAUGACAUCACAACUAUUCUGCCAUCCGCCCACAACAUACGGAGUUCCUGAGUGGAGGAGCAGAUCCAAGCCACAGUCUCACCCUAAGCUUCAGCUGCAGCAAUGCUGGAUCUUUAACCCACUGUGCUGGGCCUGGGAUUGAACCUGCAUCCCAGUGCUUCUAAGAUGCUGCUGAUCCCGUUGCUCCAUAGCAGGAACUUCCCAGAUCUGUCAUUUUAGAUGAGGUGAUAAAAGCUGCAUGUUGAAGAUGACAGAGCUACAAGAUAGAAAGAAUUUGGAAUCCCAGGAUCUUGAAGCCCCCAUAGGAGCCUAAACUUAGGUGAGAAGUGUGAUCUUGCAUCUUGUUUAUAUCACUGGUCUUUUGGGGUUUGUUCUGGGAGAUGAAACAGUAUUUUAAUACAAAAAGUCUGUGAAGUCUGUAGAAAAUCUGAACAAUAUUAAAAACCAAAUCCAAAUUAUUUGAGCUGAAACCUACCCUCUCUGCUAAAUCAAGGUGGCUGAGCAAACUUCUCUGAAAAAGGGCAGCGUGGGCGAUUUCUCGUCAGCUGCUCCUGGGUGGGCAGCUGACUGGCUCUUGUUCUUUGUGGAUUCAUGUGCCUAAGUGUCUGCCAAGAGUUCAUUCUUCUCACCCCUUGGCUGGAUAGUGUGACCAGUUUCCAAGUACGAUACACUUUAUAUUUAAUCCAAAAGAAGGGAUUUUUUUCAAGAAUUUUUAAAAAAAUAAUUGUUGAUUAAAGUAUAGUUGAUUU
ensembl:lncRNA